UUUUUGUCUUUGUCUUGAUUUUAGUCAUUAGUUCUGCACAUACCUGGGAUUUGAGUGAAGUAACAGAGGACGGACUGUAUUGUGGCCACUGAGCUUGCGAAGCCCCUCACUGCUUAUUGCAUGCAAUGACAGAAACGAGUUUGGAGUAGAAUCUCAGCCAAAAGAGGCUGAGGAAAGUGUGCUCCAUGUUGUGACAAAGCUAAUGUCAAAAAAGGACAGUGGUCUCCUGAGGAAGAUAAAGCUAAGUCUUGGGACUCAUGGAACUGGUGGCAAUUGGAUUCAUCUGCCACAAAAAGCUGGCUUUUAGAUUCUUCAACAAGAAUCAAGUUGACCACAUUAAGGGUGAUCAGAACACGUGGUUUUCUAAUAAAGAAGCCAAGCUGCCGAAAUUGCAGAAAGUCACCCCUCAAUUUGCAACUUUGUUUCUUCCAUGACUUGGCAUCUGAGUAAUCGACUGCAAUACUUUGAAGGUUAAGCAAUAUCAGUAUGCCAAAGAUACAAAACGAAUUGCUUCUAAAAAGUCAUGGUUCUCUUACGAAUCUAGUCUGGGAAUGGCUUCUUGUGAUUUUGAUCAUUGAUUUAUUUGUAUUAUCCUCCAACACUGUGGCACUCAAAGUGAUAACUCGAUCAGCUAUGAGUAGAUGUAUAGCAGCCUCCUUCAGUACUCAUGUUGUAAAGUUUUUAGUCACACAAAGGUGCUGAACUUGGGAACUUUGAGAUCUUUUCUCACAUGUUGUUUGUUAUAGGAGAGAUCUUCUAUCAUUGUUGUGUCUGAAAUCUCUUUCUUUGAGAAAUGCAGCACUUUUGAAAAUUGUUUUUGUUAUUUCCUGCAAAGGAAGAGGCAGUGACAGAUUAUUAAUAUGAAUGUUGUAAAAUAUGUUGCAGUAAACAUGUAAAAUGUUUGUCAUUAAUGAAAUCGAUAUCUGAUAGCUUUUAGUUCUCCUUACAAUUUUAUAUCCCUGCAUAUUUUUGGUAGUCUCUGUAUAUACUAUAUAGAAAUUUCUCCUAAAAAACAUCGGUUUUCUUUUCUUUUCCUUAAUUUCUUACCAAUCUCAAAGUAGAUAUCUAUUUGUUUUCUGUAAAGUUCAGAAAUAUAGAAGUGAUCAUACUGGUAUGUGUUUUUGAUAAUGGCAUAUGUUUUUGAUUCAUGAACUGAUUUUCAGUAUUCUGUAAUGAUGAAUUUUUAAGUUUUUUUGACUGGAGAUGUUAAAGUUAGUUCCUUUACACACCACAAAAUUCUAUUUAUGCUCAAAUUGGGUCUACUGCAUUUGAAUCACCGUGAGUAUAUCUCAUGCAACCAAGUAAAGCGGAAUAAUACGUCUCAAUUAGCGGAACCUGCACUUCUACACUGCAAUUAGUUGAUAAAAUACCAACAAAUCAAGUUGAUAAAAUACCAGUUAUUUAUUUGCUACUCUAUUCUUAAAAUUUAAUAUCUCAUUUCAUCAAUUAAAGUUUCAACUUCCACAAGUUUCAGACUAAAUAU
rnacentral:lncRNA from 1 species